rnacentral:rRNA from 1 species
CACGUAGGGUGCGAGCGUUGUCCGGAAUUAUUGGGCGUAAAGAGCUCGUAGGCGGUGUGUCGCGUCGGCCGUGAAAACCUGCAGCUUAACUGUGGGCGUGCGGUCGAUACGGGCAUCACUUGGAGUUCGGCAGGGGAGACUGGAAUUCCUGGUGUAGCGGUGAAAUGCGCAGAUAUCAGGAGGAACACCGGUGGCGAAGGCGGGUCUCUGGGCCGAUACUGACGCUGAGGAGCGAAAGCUAGGGGUAGCGAACGGG